rnacentral:lncRNA from 1 species
CUACUGUCUAUUUUUUUUCCUUCCCCAUAAGCCUAAGGUGUGGGGAAGGCUCCCUCUCUGGAGGAGCAGGUCGGAAGACCUCGGUGCAAAAGCAGGGACCCCCUGGCUGACCCUGUUCUCCCUCUGCAAAAUAAAGGAACCCCACCGGUGCAGAACCGUGCCACUGCACCCAUAAGACAGCCCGAGGCUCCUGGCAGACCCUACUGGGAAUUACACAGCAAGAUGGCUUUCCCUACUCCAUCGUGGCUAGAGCCUCUGCAAGGGCUGAAGCCCUUUGAUCUUGGCUUCAUUUGGAUACAUUUCAAGGGCCUUACUGGCUUUGGGCAAGUGCUGAAGUUCACUCAUUUUCUAUUGGUUGUUUCUCCCCAUGAAAGACAUUGAACAUAAGUGGUGUGGAAUAAUGUUAAGCUUCUCUGAUGGGUCCUAAAUGGUUGAAGAACACCCCUCAAGAGAUGGGAAGAUUCUAAGAGCCAGAGAGAAUGGAUUACUCCAAGGCAACACAAUGGGACUGAUGACCACAUGAACUCUUAGAGACUGUAGCAGCUUGCACCAGGCCUGU